AUGCACCUCUCCUUUCCGUGCUUUAUAGCUGUAAAUAAUCCUGACUUUCGAGUGCUGGAAACUCUGGGUCCCAUCUCCCCAAGGUCCUUCAGCGUGUGCGUUAUCCGCCUGUCUGCCUGCCUCAUCUCCGCAGGCGGGCGGAUAGGUACGAAUGGACGCAUAUGGAGAAGGCUAGUCAGAGGGGUUCCCAUGGGGUGGAUGGAUAGGAAUAGAUACAUAUGGGGGUGGCACGGCAGAGGUGUAUGGGGAUUGAUGGCUGGGUCUUGAUGAGUAGCACAGGUAAAGAGUUAUUUGGGAUUUCUUUAAAUAUAUUGAGAGUUUCUCCUUUUCUCUUCCCCUGUUGGCUGCUAUUUCACCGGUUCUCAAGUGAGCCUAGGGGUUUAUGGGGCGGGGACUAGGUGGGGUUCUCAACCACAGGUCACGCUUUGCGGGCCGCAUAUCCGGCCCCCGGUGAUAAAUGCAUUGAGACCCACGGUUCUGUUUGACAUGCCUGCUGGCUGGCUGGCUUCUAGGCAGUCCAAGAUGGUCAGCCGAUAUGAACCAAAAGCCGACAUCACGGAGCUCCCCACCCAUCAGCGAGGCCCGUCUUACAACGCGGAUGAAUUCUGGAGCGGGCGUAGCCAGCGGCCAAGCCCGCACUGGAUGGAAGAAUACAGGGAAACCUCACCCCUGCUGGCACCAUUAAAAAUAAUACCUGACUGUGUAGCUGUCAGUCUGAGAAGUGAUGCAGACGCUAACACUGAUCUGCGCAACGGACCUUCACUCAGGCUCCCGAUUCUUCUCCACUCUUUGCUGCUUUCUCUCUCCAGCCACCCCCCACUCCCAGAAAGGACGUCCAUCUCCCCCACCGUCCCACUCAUCAGUCAGUGCGGUAACCGCAUUCGCACACGACGUGCCCCGCGAUUAACGAUGUGAAGUUAUACAUAUGGUAAUCGCUUUCCAUCAUUUGGGUGGGCAAAGAUUCCCCCCCCACGCCCUGUUCCUUCUGAAGAACGUCCGCUUGGUGAUGCCGGGCACCGUGAUGGUUUUGGGGAUCUCUGGAUUUGUGGGUGGCGGAGGGGGACAGGAAGGAUUGGCAGAAAAGGUGCAAUUGGAAAGAGUUUGCUGGAGCUUUUUGGGGUGCGUGUGUGUAUGCUCCAGCCCAGAAGAUCAUUUUUAUUUCUAGUACUGUACCAACUAUGGACCCCUCAACUGAGAUCGGGGUCCCCCAUUGUGAGAUCCCGGUCCCAUUGUGUUGGGCAGUAUGCAAACACCCGGCCUCAAAAAGUUUACAGUCUAAAUGACAGUCAAAGUGACUGAUAAUCUUUCAACAGUGUCUUCAAUAGUAGCCUGUGCAUAUGAUUUCCACCCGGUUUAACGACAUGGGAAGACUCGGUGUUAUUCUGUUGCUAAGGCCUUGUCCACACCGGCACGUGUCUGCUUGCUCGGUGACGCAUGCAGUGGUCUCAGCGCAUCUUUCCAGGUGACCACGCCUGCUCCGUGCGCCAGGCGAUCCCCCGCUUGGAGCAAUGCUGAGCUGCCGGACCUCAUUGGCAUUUGGGGAGAGGAGGCUGUCCAGUCCCAGCUGCGCUCCCGCCGUAGGAAUUAUAACAACCACGGACAGGUUUCACGGUGGAUACAGAACGGGGCCAUGACCGGGACACACAGCCGCGCAGGGUNAGCGCAGGGUCAAAGUGAAGGCGCCGCGGAACGCCGACCACGAGGCACGGGAGGCCAACCGCCGCUCCGGUGCUGCGCCCACAAGCUGCCGGUUCUACAAAGAGCUGGACGUGCUACUCAGCGGCGACCCCACCUCCACUGUGAAAGACUUCGGUGGCUCCCGUGCCAGUCCAGAGUGGACCGAACUAGGAGGAGGAAAUCUCGGACAAGGAUACGGAGGAGGACCCAGAGGCAGAGGAUGAGUCGGAGGUCAGAG
rnacentral:lncRNA from 1 species